rnacentral:lncRNA from 1 species
GCCAAUACUGGAAUUAAGAAAUAUAAAUUUAAUGCUUGGAUUGAUAUAUAACUCAGUGAAGAGACUGACCAUGCUUGUUCACGUUUCAUAAAAAGAACAUAAAAAAUAGAUUUCUAUUCAUGGCAAACAGAAGAUCUCACUUCUCAAUCUACUGCCAUGAUGGGACCAUGACCUAAAUAUCUCAACUUAAGGCAAGAAAAUAAAGUACAAGCAAACCAAGCUUGAAUUUCUCAU